rnacentral:rRNA from 1 species
CCUACGGGUGGCAGCAGUGGGGGAUAUUGCACAAUGGGGGAAACCCUGAUGCAGCGACGCCGCGUGUAGGAAGACGGUCCUCUGGAUUGUAAACUACUGUCCCCAGGGACGAAGAUGACGGUACCUGGGGAGGAAGCUCCGGCUAACUACGUGCCAGCAGCCGCGGUAAUACGUAGGUAGCGAGCGUUGUCCGGAAUUACUGGGUGUAAAGGGAGCGUAGGCGGGGAUGCACGUUUGGUGUUAAAUCUACCGGCUCAACUGGUAGUCGAACUCAAAACUGCAGCUCUUGAGUGAAGUAGAGGCAGGCGGAAUUCCUAGUGUAGCGGUGAGAUGCGUAGAUAUUAGGAGGAACACCAGUGGCGAAGGCGGCCUGCUGGGCUUUUACUGACGCUGAGGCUCGAAAGUGUGGGGAGCAAACAGGAUUAGAUACCCGAGUAGUC